rnacentral:rRNA from 1 species
GAUGAACGCUAGCUACAGGCUUAACACAUGCAAGUCGAGGGGCAGCAUGGUCUUAACUUGCUAAGGCCGAUGGCGACCGGCGCACGGGUGAGUAACACGUAUCCAACCUGCCGUCUACUCUUGGACAGCCUUCUGAAAGGAAGAUUAAUACAAGAUGGCAUCAUGAGUCCGCAUGUUCACAUGAUUAAAGGUAUUCCGGUAGACGAUGGGGAUGCGUUCCAUUAGAUAGUAGGCGGGGUAACGGCCCACCUAGUCUUCGAUGGAUAGGGGUUCUGAGAGGAAGGUCCCCCACAUUGGAACUGAGACACGGUCCAAACUCCUACGGGAGGCAGCAGUGAGGAAUAUUGGUCAAUGGGCGAGAGCCUGAACCAGCCAAGUAGCGUGAAGGAGGACUGCCCUAUGGGUUGUAAACUUCUUUUAUAAAGGAAUAAAGUCGGGUAUGGAUACCCGUUUGCAUGUACUUUAUGAAUAAGGAUCGGCUAACUCCGUG